rnacentral:sRNA from 1 species
GAACCUUCUUAUAUCUCUUUUGGAAACUGUGAAAUCAGACUCAGACCUUGUUUGUUUUUCAUCCAAAUGAUUCAUCCAAAUGCAGAUGAAAAAUGAUGUUUGUUUUUUAUAAUUUAACAAGUAUUUGGAUGGAUCAUCUGGAUGAUACAUCUGAAUGAGUUUCUAAAUUUAGACAAAUUUAUGAAAUUCAUUUAGAUGAAUUUGAUUGAAGCAUUUGGAUGAAGAUGGUUUAUUCAAAAAUAACAAAAGACAGAUAUACCCUUAUUUAUAAUCAUAAAUUAAAUCAUGUUAUUUUCUAUAGAUUUCUUAAUU